UCGUCAGCUCGUGCCGUGAGGUGUCGGCUUAAGUGCCAUAACGAGCGCAACCCCUGCGACUAGUUGCCAUCAGGUUAUGCUGGGCACUCUGGUUGGACUGCCACCGUAAGGUGUGAGGAAGGUGGGGAUGACGUCAAAUCAGCACGGCCCUUACGUCCGGGGCUACACACGUGUUACAAUGGGAGGUACAGAGAGUUGGUCUUGCGCAAGCCGGAUCUAAUCCUAAAAGCCUUCCUCAGUUCGGAUUGGGGUCUGCAACCCGACCCCAUGAAGCUGGAUUCGCUAGUAAUCGCGCAUCAGCCAUGGCGCGGUGAAUACGUUCCCGGGCCUUGUACACACCGCCCGUCAAGCCAUGAAAGCCGGGGGCGCUUGAAGUCCGUGACCGCAAGGGUCGGCCUAGAGCGAAACAAAUAAUUGGGGCUAAGUCGUAACAAGGUAGCCGUA
rnacentral:rRNA from 1 species